UGCAAGUCGAGCGAGCGGAACCAACAGAUUUACUUCGGUAAUGACGUUGGGAAAGCGAGCGGCGGAUGGGUGAGUAACACGUGGGGAACCUGCCCCUAAGUCUGGGAUACCAUUUGGAAACAGGUGCUAAUACCGGAUAAUAAAGCAGAUCGCAUGAUCAGCUUUUGAAAGGCGGCGUAAGCUGUCGCUAAGGGAUGGCCCCGCGGUGCAUUAGCUAGUUGGUAAGGUAACGGCUUACCAAGGCGACGAUGCAUAGCCGAGUUGAGAGACUGAUCGGCCACAUUGGGACUGAGACACGGCCCAAACUCCUACGGGAGGCAGCAGUAGGGAAUCUUCCACAAUGGACGCAAGUCUGAUGGAGCAACGCCGCGUGAGUGAAGAAGGUUUUCGGAUCGUAAAGCUCUGUUGUUGGUGAAGAAGGAUAGAGGUAGUAACUGGCCUUUAUUUGACGGUAAUCAACCAGAAAGUCNCGGCUAACUAC
rnacentral:rRNA from 1 species